rnacentral:lncRNA from 10 species
CUCACAUUUGUAAGGCAGGUUCUUUUGUAUCAACAGAAAUAGAUCUUAGUAAUAUCCCCAUCUGGUCCAGUCAGGAAGAAGCCCCCACUGCUGCUUGCUCCAGUUUCUGCCAGUCAAGAAUAUGAGAUCAGCUGAUGGUUCCGACUCAGGGUCUUUCAGAAGGCCACGAUCCAAGUGACAUCUGGGGUUGCAUUAUCUGAGAGAUUCCCAUGCCAUAGCUGCAAAUGAGCAUCAAACAGAGCUUUCAUGGAGCACCAAGUAUUGGACCUAAUUUUAAAGACAGAUAUGAGGAUUUGGGGAAGGAAAUUGAAUUUUAAAAAUCAAGAUGAACAACUUUGGGAAAUAUCUAAUUUUUUAAAGGCAGAAAAACAAACAAACCGUGCUCAGUGUGCCUAGAGAAAAGGAGGAUGCUAUGGGAAAGAGUGUCUCACCAAGAUGUGAUCAGUGCUUCUCAUUUCCUCUCCUGGAGAGUUUCUAAGAUAUUAGUUCUUUGUUUCUAAGAACUGGUUCUGCUUUACCAUAGCAAAAGGGUUAACACGUUUUGUGUGCCUUGUACAAUGGAGGAUCAAAGUCUAAAGAGCAAUGGAGUGGAAACCCAGAAAGAGAAUUGGAGGGAAAGAUGAGAAGAAGGGAGGAUAUCUGAUCCUGUCCCUGAGGGACCUCAUAGGAGACCCUGGUGCUGGAAUACAUGGCCCUCAAAGGGGCACCCUGCAAAAGUCCAGAUGCCCCCAGAACUGACUCUGGCCCUGUGGAAAUCUGGAGACAACUUGCCUGAACCCUAGGAGCCUGGAACCAGCCAUCUUGCAAACCUCAGGAUCCUGCCUGGCAAGUUGCUCAGUGAGCAGACGUAAUGGUCCUCAGGUUUAAGUCUACACACUCCAAAUAACCUCACUGGAUAGGAGUCCCUACCACUCCAGGCCUAAGGGACUUACCAGAUGAAGUAGGAGCGUCUCCUGUACAUGACUUUCAAACUGGGAGACCUACAGCUGGAAACAAGGAGGAAAAACACCCUGGAGACAAAGUCAAAAAGAACUUACUCCUAUUAAAAUGUGAUCUAGGAAUUUAAGCAAAACGUAGAUUCUUGACAAUGAGCACUGUCAGAUAUUAGAAUGCAUCAAAGAAAUGCAAAUUAUUUGUCUUGAGAAUCAAGAAAUAGAUUGCAGGGAUUAGUUUAAUCCUACCUCACCUCUUAGCAGGUGACUAUUUUAGAUGUUUUUAUUAUUUUUUUCCUCAGAAUUCCUUAUUUUAACUAAAGAAGGGAUUAAAAAUGUUUUGUUUACAUAUUUAUAUUUUCCUUCCUUCCAAAAAAGAAAAGAAGAUUUGAAGUGAUUUACAGAAAUACAUAUAAUAUUGCAAAAAAGUAAGAAUAUAAAGAAAUUAUGGUGAAAGAAGUAUUCAAGUGGAAUGGUGAGAUAAAUUUUUUAAAAAUGUAAGAAAAUAGGUUGACUUUUGCUUAGCUGGGAGAGUAAAUCAUGCCAACAGACAUAGCUGGUCAAUUUGUAGUGGUAGGUUCACUGCAACACAGUGUCCCUGAAAAAUUAGUAAAUUUUGGCAAAAUGUCUGCAGUACUAUCAAAAACACUUUCUCACUCCCCAUAGACUAAUCCAAUACUCAGAACUACAGUGCUCCAAAACAGCAUGACUUGUCAAGACGCCUGGACAUAAUUCUCCCGUUUGAACUAAGAACUAACAAACCCAGAGAUUCACACAGCCCGACGUGAUCCUCAAUUCCCAACAGUCAAUCCUGGCCGUGGGAGGUUACCCAUAUGGUCACAGGAGUCUAGUCUUCCAGUUUCUUGUUAUGCCUGUUUUCCUCUCUUCUUUUCCUAUAUCACUUUCUUUCAGAGAGAGGUCCUGAUCAACAACCUGCGUUGAAGCACAGGCAAUGGAGCCAGAUGAUAUUCUAGAAUCCCUUCUAUUUUUUGUUACUAAAGGGAAUGAAUAAACAAUAAGUCAAUAAGCACUAUAGACUUGUUAAUUGCUGAAUUAAUCAAUCAGAAGGGGCAGGAGAAAACCAGAGAUUGGGUUUGCCUGGGCUGGGUUCCUACAACACUGUGUUUCCCCAGAUCCUUUUACAGGCUCCUUCCCUUUCGCCACUUCCUGCUUACCGGGUCCCCAGAGGUGGGCUGAUCACCAGGGAGGGGCUUCCUAAGCACCUGCUCCUGAGAACCCUGAGUCACAAUAUUCCUCCUGCUUGAAAUUCUGCCCUCCUCCUUUCUAAACAUCUCAGAUCUACACCUUUCUUCAAGACUCAUUCCUUCCACAAAAUCUUCCUUCAUGUCCAAAGCUACCCUAAUUAAUCAUUCUGCUGAACCUUUAUAGCAUUUAGUCAGUUCAACUCCUCACAAUUUAAUACUUAGCUGUGGCCUUAAACUUUUCUUUAGUUGUUUCAUUUAUCUAAGUCUUCUUUUCCCAAAAGCAUCAUAAACUCAUCAGGAUUAGAUCUCCAGGACUGCACGAUGCCUCCGCCUUUGAUCAGGCCUAUUGGACAGGGCCCUGCGGAAAUGAGUGAUGUGGUUGUGAACUGAAUAAGAAAAUGAGUAAGAC